rnacentral:rRNA from 1 species
UGGGGAAUAUUGGACAAUGGGCGCAAGCCUGAUCCAGCCAUGCCGCGUGUGUGAAGAAGGCCUUCGGGUUGUAAAGCACUUUUGUUGGGAAAGAAAUCCUGUCGAUUAAUACUCGGCGGGGAUGACGGUACCCAAAGAAUAAGCACCGGCUAACUUCGUGCCAGCAGCCGCGGUAAUACGAAGGGUGCAAGCGUUACUCGGAAUUACUGGGCGUAAAGCGUGCGUAGGCGGUUCGUUAAGUCUGUCGUGAAAGCCCUGGGCUCAACCUGGGAAUUGCGAUGGAUACUGGCGAGCUAGAGUACGGUAGAGGAUGGUGGAAUUCCCGGUGUAGCGGUGAAAUGCGUAGAGAUCGGGAGGAACACCCGUGGCGAAGGCGGCCAUCUGGACCAGUACUGACGCUGA